rnacentral:rRNA from 1 species
GAUGAACGCUGGCGGCGUGCUUAACACAUGCAAGUCGAACGAGAAGUGAAGACGGAAACCUUCGGGCGGAAGGCUUUAUUUCGAGUGGCGGACGGGUGAGUAACGCGUGGGUAACCUGCCUCAUACAGGGGGAUAACAGUUGGAAACGACUGUUAAUACCGCAUAAGACCACAGCACUGCAUGGUGCGGGGGUAAAAACUCCGGUGGUAUGAGAUGGACCCGCGUUCGAUUAGCCAGUUGGCGGGGUAACGGCCCACCAAAGCGACGAUCGAUAGCCGAUCUGAGAGGAUGACCGGCCACAUUGGGACUGAGACACGGCCCAAACUCCUACGGGAGGCAGCAGUGGGGAAUAUUGCACAAUGGGGGAAACCCUGAUGCAGCGACGCCGCGUGAGUGAAGAAGUAUUUCGGUAUGUAAAGCUCUAUCAGCAGGGAAGAAAAUGACGGUACCUGAGUAAGAAGCCCCGGCUAACUACGUG